rnacentral:misc_RNA from 1 species
GGAAAAUUCAAAACUUUUGCGUGAAUAUGCUUUUAAUUUUGGUGAUCAACUCAAUAUCAUUGCAAUUUUAUCCAAGAGUUGAAAUUGAUUUAGGGAAGUAUGUUAUUGCUAACAUCAAUCGCAUGCCAAAUGGAAUAUUUUAUGUGUUACAAGUGGCAGUGUCAUGUGGAUAUCACUCAUGACAAAUAAUAUUCCAUGUGGCAUCCAUGUAAGCAACAACACACUUUCCCAAAUCAAUUUCAGCAAUUCAACUCAACUAAGCCUU